UGCCAGCCGCCGCGGUAAUACGGAGGGGGCUAGCGUUACUCGGAAUUACUGGGCGUAAAGCGAGCGUAGGCGGUUAAUCAAGUUGGGGGUGAAAGCCCGGGGCUCAACCCCGGAAAUGCCCUCAAAACUAGUUAACUAGUGGACGGGAGAGGGGAGUGGAACUCCCAGUGUAGAGGUGAAAUUCGUAGAUAUUGGGAAGAACACCAGUGGCGAAGGCGACUCUCUGGACUGAUAUUGACGCUGAGAUGCGAAGGCAUGGGUAGCAAACGGGAUUAGAUA
rnacentral:rRNA from 1 species